rnacentral:rRNA from 1 species
AUGGCUCAGGACGAACGCUGGCGGCAUGCUUCAUACAUGCAAGUCGAACGAUAAGGUCUCUUCGGAGAUACAUAAGUGGCGGACGGGUGAGUAAUAUGUAGGAAAUCUGCCCUUGAGAGGGGGACAACGGUUGGAAACGACCGCUAAUACCCCAUAUGAGCGUACCUGAAAUGGUAUUCUUGAAAACUCCGGUGCUCAAGGAUGAGCCUGCAUCUGAUUAGCUUGUUGGCGGUGUAAUGGACCACCAAGGCGACGAUCAGUAGCUGGUUUGAGAGGAUGAUCAGCCACAAUGGGACUGAGACACGGCCCAUACUCCUACGGGAGGCAGCAGUAGGGAAUUUUGCGCAAUGGGCGAAAGCCUGACGCAGCAAUGCCGCGUGAACGUAGAAGCCCUUCGGGGUGUAAAGUUCUGUCAGUGGGGACGAAUUUUGACGGUACCCACAGAGGAAGCACCGGCUAACUCCGUGCCAGCCGCGGC